rnacentral:rRNA from 1 species
GACGUAGGAGGCGAGCGUUGUCCGGAUUCAUUGGGCGUAAAGAGCACGCAGGCGGUUUGGCAAGUCGGAUGUGAAAGCCCGGAGCUCAACUCCGGACCUGCAUCCGAAACUGCCCGACUAGAGGUAGGUAGGGGAGAUCGGAAUUCCUGGUGUAGCGGUGAAAUGCGUAGAGAUCAGGAGGAACACCCGUGGCGAAGGCGGCACUCUGGGUCGGCCCUGACGCUGAGGCGCGAAGGCGUGGGGAGCGAACGGG